rnacentral:rRNA from 1 species
CGGGGGGACCUUCGGGCCUCGCGCUAUAGGGUUUGGCCGAUGGCUGAUUAGCUAGUUGGUGGGGUAAAAGCCUACCAAGGCGACGAUCAGUAGCUGGUCUGAGAGGACGACCAGCCACACUGGGACUGAGACACGGCCCAGACUCCUACGGGAGGCAGCAGUGGGGAAUUUUGGACAAUGGGCGAAAGCCUGAUCCAGCAAUGCCGCGUGUGUGAAGAAGGCCUUCGGGUUGUAAAGCACUUUUGUCCGGAAAGAAAUCCUUGGCUCUAAUACAGUCGGGGGAUGACGGUACCGGAAGAAUAAGCACCGGCUAACUACGUGCCAGCAGCCGCGGUAAUACGUAGGGUGCAAGCGUUAAUCGGAAUUACUGGGCGUAAAGCGUGCGCAGGCGGUUUGCUAAGACCGAUGUGAAAUCCCCGGGCUCAACCUGGGAACUGCAUUGGUGACUGGCAGGCUAGAGUAUGGCAGAGGGGGGUAGAAUUCCACGUGUAGCAGUGAAAUGCGUAGAGAUGUGGAGGAAUACCGAUGGCGAAGGCAGCCCCCCUGGGCCAAUACUGACGCUCAUGCACGAAAGCGUGGGGA